AUUGAACGCUGGCGGCAGGCCUAACACAUGCAAGUCGAGCGGAUGAAGGGAGCUUGCUCCUGGAUUCAGCGGCGGACGGGUGAGUAAUGCCUAGGAAUCUGCCUGGUAGUGGGGGAUAACGUCCGGAAACGGGCGCUAAUACCGCAUACGUCCUGAGGGAGAAAGUGGGGGAUCUUCGGACCUCACGCUAUCAGAUGAGCCUAGGUCGGAUUAGCUAGUUGGUGGGGUAAAGGCCUACCAAGGCGACGAUCCGUAACUGGUCUGAGAGGAUGAUCAGUCACACUGGAACUGAGACACGGUCCAGACUCCUACGAGAGGCAGCAGUGGGGAAUAUGGGACAAUGGGCGAAAGCCUGAUCCAGCCAUGCCGCGUGUGUGAAGAAGGUCUUCGGAUUGUAAAGCACUUUAAGUUGGGAGGAAGGGCAGUAAGUUAAUACCUUGCUGUUUUGACGUUACCAACAGAAGAAGCACCGGCUAACUUCGUG
rnacentral:rRNA from 1 species